GGGUCGCUAGCUCAGCUGGAAGAGCGGCGGACUCUUACUCCGUAGGUCCCCGGUUCGAGCCCGGGGCGGCCCA
rnacentral:tRNA from 1 species